rnacentral:lncRNA from 1 species
CCUUCGUGCGAGGCUCGUCCUGCGCGCGGGAGGCGCAAACCGCUUCUAUCCACCAGAAUAUCAAGUAGCAAUAUCUGUAAGAAACAGCUAGAUCUUACCACAGAGGCCCGGCGGUGGAGAGGCCAGUGUGAACACCAGGGACAGAAGAGCAGGCAACGCCAUUAGCAUCAAGCACAAUAUUGAUAGCCUGAGAAAAGAUAACGUUGUAUCAAUCAGGAGCGUAGCUACCGCCAUCAAUGAUACGGAACCUCCGGAAUGCAGGGGAUUUCUUGCUAUUACACCCCUUACGUGUGAAAGCACUACAAUAUUACCUGCUUCAUGUGGUGGUGCUUCCCGGGAAAACGACCAUAAAAACUGCAGAAAUGACAAAAGUAAAAA